AAGUCGUAACAAGGUUUCCGUAGGUGAACCUGCGGAAGGAUCAUUAAAAUGAAUGUACUUUCACAAGUACUAAACCCAAAUGUUGAACUGUUUUAUGGACGAAAGGGAACAAGGUGUUAUGUCUUGUGGAAAGCUGUAGUUUGAAGCUUUCGUUAUCCCUUUUGUUUUUUUUCAAACUUUAUUAUUUUUAACCCAAUUUCACCUCGAUAUUCUACUUUGUACUGAAUCUUUUUUUGUUGGAAACGACAAAAAAAUCAUACGAAACUUAAGAACAACUCUUAACGACGGAUAUCUUGGCUCUC
rnacentral:misc_RNA from 1 species